UUCAAAAAUUCUAGCUACCAUCCUCACUGUUUUAUAUGCCUGAUAAAACUAAAAAUAUUAAUUAUGAUUAUAAAAGCUAUCUACUCUGUAUUGAGUUUGUUCAAAAUGAGUUAGACCCUUGUUGAGAGAUUUAUCAUGCUCCUAAGAUCAAGACAUUAUUCAGAAAGAUUCACUCUUCCGAAGUAUUAUUGCAUUAGAGGCAUGGCUAUGCAAAAAUAAAGAUAUUUCGAGGAAAUAAAAAGGAGCAAGUGCUCGAUAACCUCGCAGAAAAAAUGGACAAGUGUCCGGCAGUAGAAUUAGGGGUACCUCGGUAUCCACUUAAAAAAAAGAAGAAAAGAGAGACAAAAAUAAAAUGAUAGCCCAUGGUCCCUCUAAUAAGCAAUACGCCAGCAAGAGUUGACAAGUUUUUAAUUUCCAAAAGUCUUUGAUCUAAGAGUAUGACAUUCCCCUCCUUGGAUCCCGUUUUGAUCAGGCAAUAAAUGCAAGGUAAGUAUGCUUGAUAAUUUUUUGCAAAUUAAAAUAGCCUCAGCGAGAUAUAUAAAAGAUAAUAAGUG
rnacentral:lncRNA from 1 species